GCAACCCGAUGUCGGGGGCUUGGGCGGAAGCCCACGUUGCCCGACAAAAAACGUACCCCCGGCGCGGUCUGCGCCAAGGAAUCGAAAUGAAGCAACGUGAGCAGUCCGCCCCGUUCGCGGGAAGUGGACGGCAACACGGUCUUCCAAUGUAUACUAAACGACUCUCGGCAACGGAUAUCUCGGCUCUCGCAUCGAUGAAGAACGUAGCGAAAUGCGAUACUUGGUGUGAAUUGCAGAAUCCCGUGAACCAUCGAGUUUUUGAACGCAAGUUGCGCCCGAAGCCAUUAGGCCGAGGGCACGCCUGCCUGGGCGUCACGCGCUCCGUCGCCCCGCAACCCCGAACCCCGAAACGGGCCAGGGUACUUGUGGUGCGGAGAUUGGUCUCCCGUGUGCCUUGCUCGCGGCUGGCCUAAAAUUGAGUCCCGGGCGCUCUGUUCUGCGGCCGACGGUGGUUGAGAAGCCCUCGAAAUUGUGCUGCUGCAGUGCUGCCCGAUGCGGACCCUGUGACCCUUGCGCGACCUCUCCCCUUGGGGUGAGGGAGCUCCAUCUGA
rnacentral:sRNA from 1 species